UCCGUAGGUGAACCUGCGGAAGGAUCAUUAGUGAAGUUAUCAGGGUGCUUUCAUUAGGCCCGACUACACUUAUUACACACUGUGCACUUGUUUAUAAAUUGAUGGCUUGACUCACAUCGAGCUGUCUCUUUAUUUCAUACACUUGUUAAUGGAAAGAAGUUGAUAGGAUGUAAUCAAAUUGAUUAAACGAAAGUACAACUUUCAGCAACGGAUGUCUUGGCUCUCGCAUCGAUGAAGAACGCAGCGAAAUGCGAUACGUAAUGUGAAUUGCAGAACUCAGUGAAUCAUCGAAUUUUUGAACGCACCUUGCGCUCUGUGGUUAUUCCGCAGAGCAUGCUUGUUUGAGUGUCGCGAACUUCUCAACCCCGCCUAUUCAUUUAGGUAGCUUGGGCUUGGAUCAUGAUUGUUGCUCUUUCCUUUUGUGAAAGAGCUCAGUUGAAAUACAACAAGUUGGAUGGACGUACAGUUACCGCUUGACCUGAUGUUGUAGAAACACUUCGUCGGGGAUGGUAAUCUGAAGGUGCAAUGAACUUUAACAGACCUUAAUUGACACUAUUAGAUUAGUGCAUUAUGACCUCAAAUCAAGUAGGACUACCCGCUGAACUUAAGCAUAUCAAUAAGCGGAGGA
rnacentral:rRNA from 1 species